CUUUGACGUAAAUUUUUUUAUACCUUUUUUACCUGUAAUCUCCCGAAGCCACCAUGAUCCGAAAUUCAUAGUCGCUGAUCGUUCUUCCCUAUGCUGGGGGCAAUACGCAGAGAAACUUUCAGCUUUUAUAAAAUAACGAAGGUCUGGCACGCGCUGGCUCUUAGUCGAGUCAUUAGAUUUGUGCGUGU